rnacentral:tRNA from 1 species
GCCGAAUUAGCUCAGUUGGGAGAGCGUCAGACAGAAGAUCUGAAGGUCUAUGGUUCAAUCCCGUGUUUCGGCA